ACGGGAGGCAGCAGUAGGGAAUAUUGCACAAUGGGGGAAACCCUGAUGCAGCAACGCCACGUGUGGGAAGAAGCAUUUCGGUGUGUAAACCACUGUCGUGAGGGAAUAAUGCUUAAUUUCGGUUAAGUUGAAUGUACCUCGAAAGGAAGCACCGGCAAACUCCGUGCCAGCAGCCGCGGUAAUACGGAGGAUCCGAGCGUUAUCCGGAUUUAUUGGGUUUAAAGGGUGCGUAGGCGGGCUGUUAAGUCAGCGGUGAAACCCCCGGGCUCAACCCGGGGACUGCCAUUGAAACUGGCGGCCUUGAGUACGUUGGGAGUGCGCGGAAUGUGUGGUGUAGCGGUGAAAUGCAUAGAUAUCACACAGAACACCGAUCGCGUAGGCAGCGCACUACGCCGCAACUGACGCUGAGGCACGAAGGCGCGGGGAUCGAACAGGAUUAGAUACCCUGGUA
rnacentral:rRNA from 1 species